GGGCCUGUAGCUCAAUUGGUAGAGCACCGCCUUUGCAAGGCGGGGGUCAGGGGUUCGAUUCCCCUCAGGUCCACCG
rnacentral:tRNA from 4 species